UGGGGAAUAUUGGGCAAUGGGCGAAAGCCUUACCCAGCAACGCCGCGUGAGGGAAGAAAGGUUUUCGGAUUGUAAACCUCUGUCCUGGGGGACGAAGGAAGUGACGGUACCCCGGGAGGAAGCCCCGGCUAACUACGUGCC
rnacentral:rRNA from 1 species